UCCGCUCCUUUGCCCGUGUGUCCUUGCGGUGACCUGGGCCCCCGCCGCCACGCGAGAACAGGCUCGCCCCGCGGCCUAGGCUGCCCUGCCGGCGGGCGGCUGAACCCAGUGGCCACUGGCCGCCCUCCCCGCCGCCUUCCGGCCUGGAGGACUCGAGGACGCGCCCCCGGGGCCUACCUCAGCGACUUCUUGUGCGGCCACCGCGGACGGGUCAGGUGUGGACCUGCCGUGGGCGCCAAAGAGGGGUCCCAGCGCACUUCCCGCGUCCGCCCGACCCCUCCGGUCCCCGGGGCGUGACCGUCAUACCCCUGCGCUGACCCCAGGGGCCACCUGAUUGGGAGUGUCCGCCGCCAUCAGCGCUUUGGCGAAGAAUGGUAAGGCUGGCAUGCACAUCAGAUCAUGGAGACCAUCUUAUAUUAUAGAAGAAGAAACCAAAGCCCAUCUUGGGGAAACUGACUCCUUAACUAGUGAAAUUAAAGAGUAUCCAAUUCCAGCCCAUUUAUAUACAUGUCUCACUUCAUUCUGGGCUCAGAUUGUGAUGGAAAUUUAGGUCUCUGGUAAGAUUUGGACUUGUGCUGGGGUCUUCUGUGACUGAUGGCAGGUAUUUUGCAAUAGGAUCAAAUGGUGAUUUAAGUGAGAAUCCUUUUGCUUGAUCUAGCAGUGACAUUCCAUCUGAAGAACUG